UUUAGAAACCUGUUAAGAAAGUAGUAAUAUUGUCAUUCUAUUGUCUUGGUGUCAAGAUAAUUGGUGUCUUAGUGUCAAGACAAUUCAAUAGGAAAAAUAAGAGUCUAGAGAUACACUCUUACAUUAAUAAAUUUAAUAAAACUUAAAAUAAAACGAAAUUAAGAGUCCAGAAAUACACCCUCACAUUGUUGGGCAUUGAGAUCAGUUGCCCAACAAUGUAAGGAUGUAUUUGUGGACUCUUAAUUUUAUUCCAUUGAUCUACAUAUCAAUCUUUAUAGCACAUAUAAAAUUUAUACAUAGUACUUCAUGUUUAUAUGCAAAAUGGAAUUGUGUUCUGGGAUGCUGAGAUCAUUAUUAACAGGUUUUUGACCUGUGUGAUUGUCUGGUUGUAUAUUUGAAAUCGAAUUCUUCCUCAUAUGUGACUGUGCUGCCCAUUGCAGUACAUCUAACAUUAUUAGCCUCUGAGAACUAAACGACACUGUGUCCCUCAACUGUUUUGACAGUCAAGACAUCUCAAAAAUUUCUAGAACAUUGCUUAGGAGGCAAUACUACUCCCAUUGAGAGCUUCUUUUCUAAAGUUAUCUUCUGCAUCCUUUUGCCUGUUUUCUUCUCUGCCUUUUCUAGCCCAUGUCCCACAUGGUUAAAAUAGGAACCUGUCCAGGUUAUUCCUUGCUUGAAAGCUUUCGAUGACUCUUUAUGGUCUGUAAUAUGAAGUUCAAACUUCUCAACAUGACUUAUCAGCUUGAUCACCUUCCAAAUCCUUUUCCUACAUGCCACCUAGCCUGUGAGAUUAUUGAUCUCCACAUGCACUGCCCCUCUACCAGGUAUACCUACAGCUCUUUGAAAAUCACAUUCAUCCUUUGGAACUAGCUGCAUCAGCUCCUGCGAAAGCCUUGCUGUUCUUCUAUUCAGCUAGUUGUGCCCUGCCUUGAGCUCCCCAAAGUGCCUUUUGGGGGGAGUUU
rnacentral:lncRNA from 1 species